GCCUGGGUGGCUCAGUUAGUUGAGCAUCUGACUCCAGCUCAGGUCAUGAUCUCAUGGUCGUGGGUUCAAGCCCCAUGUCAGGCU